UACGGAGGGUGCGAGCGUUGUCCGGAAUCACUGGGCGUAAAGGGCGCGUAGGCGGUCCGGUAAGUCCGCUGUGAAAGUCGGGGGCUCAACCCUCGAAUGCCGGUGGAUACUGUCGGGCUAGAGUGCGGAAGAGGCGAGUGGAAUUCCUGGUGUAGCGGUGAAAUGCGCAGAUAUCAGGAGGAACACCUAUUGCGAAGGCAGCUCGCUGGGACGCAACUGACGCUGAGACGCGAAAGCGUGGGGAGCAAACAGG
rnacentral:rRNA from 1 species